rnacentral:rRNA from 1 species
AGUGAACGCUGGCGGUAGGCCUAACACAUGCAAGUCGAACGGCAGCACAGUAAGAGCUUGCUCUUACGGGUGGCGAGUGGCGGACGGGUGCGGAAUACAUCGGAAUCUACUUUUUCGUGGGGGAUAACGUAGGGAAACUUACGCUAAUACCGCAUACGACCUACGGGUGAAAGCAGGGGAUCUUCGGACCUUGCGCGAUUGAAUGAGCCGAUGUCGGAUUAGCUAGUUGGCGGGGUAAAGGCCCACCAAGGCGACGAUCCGUAGCUGGUCUGAGAGGAUGAUCAGCCACACUGGAACUGAGACACGGUCCAGACUCCUACGGGAGGCAGCAGUGGGGAAUAUUGGACAAUGGGCGCAAGCCUGAUCCAGCCAUACCGCGUGGGUGAAGAAGGCCUUCGGGUUGUAAAGCACUUUUGUUGGGAAAGAAAAGCAGCAGGUUAAUACCCCGCUGUUCUGACGGUACCCAAAGAAUAAGCACCGGCUAACUUCGUG